rnacentral:rRNA from 1 species
UACGUAGGGGGCAAGUGUUGUCCGGAAUUAUUGGGCGUAAAGCGCGCGCAGGCGGUUCAUUAAGUUGGGUGUUUAAGCCCGGGGGCUUCAACCCCGGUUCGCAUCCAAAACUGGUGGACUUGAGUGUAGGAGAGGAAGGUGGAAUUCCACGUGUAGCGGUGAAAUGCGUAGAGAUGUGGAGGAACACCAGUGGCGAAGGCGACUUUCUGGCCUAUAACUGACGCUGAGGCGCGAAAGGCGUGGGGAGCAAACAGG